AGCCACAACAGGGUUUGUUUUCUGCAAUGCCAUCAGAUCAAAGAUUCAAAAUCAAGCCAAUAAAAUGAUCCAAAGAAACAACAACAAGUCUCACAUGUGCUCUAACUUCCACCUAAUGAGCAUAGCUUCAAGCAUAACGUAGACAAGGAACAUCAAACCAACAACCACACUUGAAAACUCAUAACAAUUGAGACUUGACUAUUACUUAAAGCCAUAUAUAUUCUUAAAUUCUCACCUUGAGUCUUCGACCAAGCUCCUU